CCGCCGUUAACGAAAAGACUUCGACUUCGUUUACUGCUUUGGGUGUCGUGCGUGUAAAUGUAAAAAAAAUAUAUUUUUCUUUUGAAAUCCUAUUUUACUAACUAAACCCAUUGCAAAUCUAUCUAUAAAUCGGAAAAUCGGGGCGCUUUUAAGUUUUAGUGGAAUAAAAGAGUUCUCAUGUUUCAAAUGGUAUGCGUGUGUGUGUUUAUAAUUGAAUUUUGUGUGCAUCAGUAUUUUCCCUUUAAAUCCUUGGAAGGUGUAUUAUGUCGUUGGUAUCAGUCCCAGCAGCAGCACUAGCAGCGAACAGAAGCAGCCAACAGGCAGAGAAAAAUAAUUUUUUGUUGAUGAUAGCUGCUUAGCAAACGACGGUCGGCGACGACGACGACGACAAUUGUGUGCGAAUAACUUUCAUGUAAAAGAGAGUUUAAUUCCAACAUCAACGAGCAAGCCGGCAACAACAACGACCGACCACACGACAGCAACAAAAAUAACAACCAACUGCCAGUCAGCAGCAGAAAAAGAAACAGAAAAUAAAAAUAAAAACAAACAACAAAAAGUAUUAAAACGCAGACUUAAUCAAUAGCACAAGUCAACCAGAAGCAGCCAUCAGCAGCAGCAGCACCAGCAGCUGCUCACCAUCAGGAGUAACUAACUUAACUACAAAAGCAACAACAAUAACAACAACGCGCUAACACAACAAACAAAAGAGUCUCGACGAUCAUCGUCACUGCACACAACAAAGAUGGACGAAAACGAACAAGAAUUAAAAAGUCCCAUGAAACGAGUUGGAUCCACCCGCAAGGUGUUUCUAUUCAACAACAUACGACAGCAAUUGAACGAACACUUACGAUGUUUAGAUAAUCGAGUCGAGUCCCAGGUAUCCCUCAUACAAGAGCUUCAGGACUUAUUUCGGCGAAGGGGUGAACUGGAAUUGGAGUACAGUAAGAAUCUGGACAAAUUGGUGCGAAGUCUUCAGGCGAGGCAUAAGGAACAAAAACAGAAACGCGAACAAUGGCACAUAUUCUCGGCAUUUGGCUCCUGGUCACAUUUGCUGGAGCAAACACAGUCGUUGAGCAAAGAUCAUGCCACACUCUCGGAAUUGUAUUCGGUGAAUAUUGUCUCCUCACUACAGACGACCAUCGAAGAUGUCCAAAGAAUAUACAAAAAAUGCCGAUCCAUUGGCUAUGACAUACACGAAGAGAUUUUAAGGGUGCUUGAAGAGCUCUAUGCCACCAUGAAGACCUAUCAGAAAUACGAAGCCGAAUGGAAGGCGGCCGAGGUCAAACUGACGACCGCCGAGGCCCAGCAGCAAAAGAUGGAACAGAGCGUACAGAAGGAUAAAUUGCGUACCAGCAAAAAAUUCCGCAUGAUGGAAAAGGAGAUAAUGAAACGCCGCAGCAAGUAUUCGGACGCUCGCAUGAAGGCGUUAAAAGCUAAAAACGAAUACCAACUGUGCUUGGAGUCGUCAAAUACCACAAUCCAUAAAUAUUUUAUUGACGAUCUGAGCGAUCUGAUUGAUUGUAUGGACUUAGGUUUUAGUUCCAUGAUAUCGCGGUGUCUUGUUAUGCAUGUGACCGCAGACCAAGGACGAGCCAGGGCUAUUCUAAGCCAGGCUGAUAAUUUAGCGCACGUUAUUCAGUUGAUAGAUAGCCAACAAGAUAAACAGAAAUUUAUGGAACAGUAUCAUGCGGCGUUUAUGGUGCCCAAGCGGUUCGAGUUUCAGGGCCAGUUCAGCAACGAUCUGCUGGAGCAGAGUGUUCAGAAGGAGUUGUAUGUGGACAUGGAACACCGCUUACAGUUGAUUGGCCAAAGGUUGAACUCUUUGCGCACCGAAUCCGAGGAGAUUUGGAAGACUUUGGAAAUGGCCGAAGUGAAACUGCUGGAACAUUUCAACAGCAAGGACUGUGAUGUAAGCCCCGCUUUUGUGGAGCAUAAUAAAAGCCUUUUACAAAAGGGCGGUGCCUCGAUGGCUUUUAAUCCCAAACUGAAGGCUGAAAAAGAAGAAGUCGAAGACUUUUACAUAAACAAAAUCCGAGAAUAUAUUCGUGGUACAUCGCGCAUAGCGCGCCUAGAUGCUAAAGCCAAGUAUUUAAGAGAAAUGCUCAUAACCGACAAUAAUGCGUCUUUCACUCGAGAGAUCCUCGAGCACCCGAUCAACAGCAAGCGCAAAAGAAUAGGUCGCAAAAACCAAUCAGGCCGACCCAAACUGUUUGGCGGUUCCUUGGAGGAAUAUUUGGAAAGUACCGGCGAAGAUAUUCCCUUAAUACUGCGAAGUUGUAUACGUGUCAUAAACCUGUAUGGUCUACAUCAUCAGGGCAUCUUCCGGGUAUCCGGAUCACAAGUUGAGAUUACAAAUUUCCGUGAAGCCUUCGAGAGGGGCGAAGAUCCCUUGGCUGAUACCACAGAUGCAUCGGACAUCAAUUCGGUGGCUGGUGUACUGAAGCUGUAUUUACGCGAGCUCAGAGUACCCCUCUUCCCCAAGUUCUACUUUGAGAGUUUCAUUUCCAUAGCGGAAAUGCAAACCAAGGCCGACAUGGUCAAGGGUAUUAGGCAAUUCUUGCAAAAUCUUCCCAACUCCGUGGUUAUAGUCAUACGCUAUCUAUUCUCCUUCCUUAAUCACCUGUCGGAAUAUGCCGACGAGAAUAUGAUGGAUGCCUACAAUCUGGCCAUAUGUUUCGGACCCACUCUCAUGCCCGCGCCCGAAGACAAAGAUCAAGUGCAGUACCAAAAUCAGGUAAACGAAUUGAUCAAGAACAUGAUCAUAUAUCAUGAAGACCUGUUCCCCAAGGAAUUGGGUGGCUAUGAGUACGAGAAAUAUAUCUCGCCCCACACCCUGGACAUGGAUGUGGGCGAUUCGCCCUCCGAGGUGCUGACCGAAGAUCCCGAAUCGGAUGCCUACCCUUCCGAAGACGAAUCGGAGGUCUUGGAGGCCAUGGCCCAGUUCGACUUCAAUGCUCGUUCCAGUCGCGAGCUCUCGCUGACAAAAGGUGAUUGUAUUAUUCUGCGAAAGCAAGUCUCCAACGAUUGGUGGCAGGGCUCGGUGAAUGGCAAAGAAGGCCUUGUGCCCGACAAAUACAUAUCGUUAAAGCUCAAAGAUGAAGCACGUCUACCCGCACAAAAUUCCCAAUCUAUGGAACAUUUGUACUUAGAGAAUUCAUGCUCUUCAUCCACUUCAAUGUUAGUAGACAAUAAAGAGAUCGCAAAGUAUGUUGUCAAUGAUGUUUAUUUUAACAAUGCCACAAACAAUACGGCCUGUAAUAAUUCGGUGGUCGGUUUAGGUAAUAACGGUGCUAUUUAUGCCAUACCCCAUCAACGAAAAACUAGUACCGGCAGUGGUGGAAAUGGAUCACUUGGUGGUGGUGGUAGUGUCGCUUGCACCGGUGGUGGUCUGGGUUGUGCAUCAUCAACAUCAUCAUCCAAUGCUAACGCUUCUGGCGACUCAUGUACAGAUGGUAACGCUUACGCUGUCACAAGUGAAGGUCAUUUAUUUAAGCACUUUGCAAUAGCCCCCCAUCCUAAUGCCACAACUAAUAAUAAUUCCGCUAGUUCUGCUACUACUAUUUCUACUACUGCAUCUACUACACCCCCUCCCAUUCCCACUAGUGCACCCACAUCGGCGGCAACGCCUAUACCCGUAAAUAAUUCAUCAUUAUUGAAAUUCAUAAAGAACAACAGCAAACAGUAUCACGAUGAGCCGCACUCCUUUGAGAAUGCCAUAGAAUUUCAAAACGCCUACGAUGAGCAGGUGGAAAAAUUCGAGACGACCGUAUAAGAUGAGCCAAACAGGACGAAGAAGAUGAAGAUGAAGCUGAAGGCGAAGGUGAACAAGAGAGACUCGGCACAAACCACCAAAAGGAAAACAGUACGCGUACAGAGUAAAGUUGUGCAAUUGAUCGAAAGAGUCAAAGAGUCAAAUGUUAAAACUUUAACUUCGCAGAAUGUCAUAUUAAAUAAACCUGACAUAUAGUAUUUGUAAAAAGCCUCCAAAUUAAACAAACAAAUAUGAUAGAGAUGUUUAUUUUAUGUAACAUUCUAUUUGAAACAAUAUUUGUUGAUUUGUAAAUUUUAUUUUGUAAAUUCAUAAUUGUAAGCAUUUGAAGAAUAAUAUUAAAAAAAUCAUAUUUGAAUCUAUUUUGUUUAAUGCCCAAAAUGUUAUUGCGCCCCAAGCAAGCCUGGGAAAUAUAGACCCACUAGCCGAACCGGGCCCGCUCUGAUGCGCCUUCUUUAAAUCUCUAAAAUCUUUUUAAUUUGUGCCAUUGUAGCCUAUGACGCUGAACGCGUUUGAAUCCUGGCGAAAACAUCGGACAAAGCAGUGUUUUUCCCCUCUUAAUGUUGGCGACAUUUGCGAGCUACAAUGCCAUGCAUGGUCAUUUAAAAACAUCUUCUCAAAAGAGGUGUCGCACUGCGGCACGCCGUUCGGACUCGGCGGUCCCUCAUCAUUAAGUUUAAACUUGAAUCGGAAAGCACUCAUUGAUGUUUGAGAAUUUGCCCCUUCUCGGUUCCUGGUGGUAAUGUUCUUCCUUAAGGUAAUGUUCUCAUUAGGGGAGGGAUGGCACCUCAGACAUUUCGACUCAAAUAUGGAUAUCAAAUUCGUGCUGCACUUCUAAAUCCCUUUAAUUUGAGCCCCAUAUUGCCAUGGCCGGUAAAUAUGAACCGUUUGGAGGGUGUUUUGAGGCUGGGGCGGCCACCGGCACUGAAAAUAGAUAUCAAAUCAGUUUUUUUAUUCCCAACGGAAAUGAAGUUCAGCAUAGGGGGUGCUUUAGGGCGUUUCCCAAAAAAACACUUGGCUUCAAAAUUGGAUAUCAAAUUCGUUUUCUACUCUUGAAUAUAUUUUAUUUGAGUCCCAUAUUGUCAUAAUGGGUCAAAUAACCCAUUUGACGUAUCUUUAGGAGAAAAAGCGCCACCUAGACUUGAACGCAAAUUUUAAUGUCAUACUCGUAAUCUACUCCUUAAUACCUUUCAUUUGAGUCCCAUAUAGCCAUGGUCGGCUAACAUGCCCAUUUGGAGGUAUUUGGGGGUGGGAGACCUCCCAUUACUUGGACCUAAUGUUUUAUGCCA